rnacentral:rRNA from 1 species
UACGGGGGGGGGCAAGCGUUGUUCGGAAUUACGUGGCGUAAAGGGCGCGUAGGCGGCCUGCUAAGUCGGAUGUGAAAUCCCUCGGCUCAACCGAGGAACUGCAUCCGAUACUGGCGGGCUUGAAUCCGGGAGAGGGAUGUGGAAUUCCAGGUGUAGCGGUGAAAUGCGUAGAUAUCUGGAGGAACACCGGUGGCGAAGGCGGCAUCCUGGACCGGUAUUGACGCUGAGGCGCGAAAGCUAGGGGAGCAAACGGG